rnacentral:rRNA from 1 species
CUACGGGCGGCUGCAGUGGGGAAUAUUGCACAAUGGGCGCAAGCCUGAUGCAGCCAUGCCGCGUGUAUGAAGAAGGCCUUCGGGUUGUAAAGUACUUUCAGCGGGGAGGAAGGGAGUAAAGUUAAUACCUUUGCUCAUUGACGUUACCCGCAGAAGAAGCACCGGCUAACCCCGUGCCAGCAGCCGCGGUAAUACGGAGGGUGCAAGCGUUAAUCGGAAUUACUGGGCGUAAAGCGCACGCAGGCGGUUUGUUAAGUCAGAUGUGAAAUCCCCGGGCUCAACCUGGGAACUGCAUCUGAUACUGGCAAGCUUGAGUCUCGUAGAGGGGGGUAGAAUUCCAGGUGUAGCGGUGAAAUGCGUAGAGAUCUGGAGGAAUACCGGUGGCGAAGGCGGCCCCCUGGACGAAGACUGACGCUCAGGUGUGAAAGCGUGGGGAGCAAACAGGAUUAGAUACCCGUGUAGUC